UAGGGAAUCUUCCACAAUGGACGCAAGUCUGAUGGAGCAACGCCGCGUGAGUGAAGAAGGCUUUCGGGUCGUAAAACUCUGUUAUUGAAGAAGAACGUGUGUGACAGUAACUGGUCAUGCAGUGACGGUAUUCAAUCAGAAAGUCACGGCUAACUACGUGCCAGCAGCCGCGGUAAUACGUAGGUGGCAAGCGUUGUCCGGAUUUAUUGGGCGUAAAGCGAGUGCAGGCGGUCUUUUAAGUCUGAUGUGAAAGCCUUCGGCUUAACCGAAGAAGGGCAUCGGAAACUGGAAGACUUGAGUGCAGAAGAGGAGAGUGGAACUCCAUGUGUAGCGGUGAAAUGCGUAGAUAUAUGGAAGAACACCAGUGGCGAAGGCGGCUCUCUGGUCUGUAACUGACGCUGAGGCUCGAAAGCGUGGGUAGCAAACAGGAUUAGAUACC
rnacentral:rRNA from 1 species